rnacentral:rRNA from 1 species
UACGUAGGGACCAAGCGUUUGUUCGGAUUUACUGGGCGUAAAGGGCGCGUAGGCGGCAAUUCAAGUCAUCUGUGAAAUCUCCGGGCUUAACUCGGAACGGUCAGAUGAUACUGCUUUGCUAGAGUGCGGAAGGGGCAAUCGGAAUUCUCGGUGUAGCGGUGAAAUGCGUAGAUAUCAAGAGGAACACCUGAGGUGAAGACGGGUUGCUGGGCUGACACUGACGUGAAGCGCGAAAGCUAGGGUAGCAAACGGG